CAGCCGCCGCGGUAAUACAGAGGGUGCGAGCGUUAAUCGGAUUUACUGGGCGUAAAGCGUGCGUAGGCGGCUUCUUAAGUCGGAUGUGAAAUCCCUGAGCUUAACUUAGGAAUUGCAUUCGAUACUGGGAAGCUAGAGUAUGGGAGAGGAUGGUAGAAUUCCAGGUGUAGCGGUGAAAUGCGUAGAGAUCUGGAGGAAUACCGAUGGCGAAGGCAGCCAUCUGGCCUAAUACUGACGCUGAGGUACGAAAGCAUGGGGAGCAAACAGGAUUAGAUACCCAGUAGUCCCUGUCUCUUAUACA
rnacentral:rRNA from 1 species